CAGACAUUUGUUUAGAGAGAACAGACUGGACUUCUGGUGAAAGGAAGGACAAAUACAAAACUUCACUUUGUCAAAGAAAGCAUGGAGAAAAUCAAGUACAGAGCACAAGUCCAUCAGGAAAACUUAAAAGAAUUUCCACCAUCAGCCAAUAACAAUGGGGAGAAAGGAGCACCACACACAACAAACAAGUGGUAAGUGGAACCUGCUAAGUCCUUAGGUAACUCUUCCUGCUACAAGUCCCUACAAAGCUUUCCAGUUAUGUACUUGAAAGACCAGGGGAAAGACCUGGGGAUUUACAAGCCUGAGGUUGUCACAGCAGCUGAUUCUCACCAACAUCCCAGUUCCUAGCAGGGUCCUUAAGGAACAGGCAUUUAUAUUAGGCAAUGUCCAUGCAAAUUUUGCUGCUCUGGCUCUGUCCAAGACACAUCCAUAACAGGUAAAAGGUACCACUGAGACAGUUCUGGUGAGAUACAUAGCUUUCUUUCAUUGAUCCCAACUGCUUCCAGGACAGAUGAUGCUGUACACAGAGUAAGGACUAGACUUUAGCCUAGUUCUUAACUAUUCAGAAAAUUACAGGUAAGUUUGCCAACACACAAAAAAACUAAAUUUAAAAAAAAAACCCUAUUCUGAAUGUAUAUACAUGUAUAUAAAAAGAUAUUCCAGUGUCUGUGCAAAACACUGAAGUGACCACUUAUGCCUUUUUUUUCCCCUCCAAUAUUUCCCUGAAAGAAAGGGAUAAUCUUAUUUCACCAAGCCUCUCUUCAGAAUUCAUUGCUUCUGACAUGAAGACUCUUCUCCAACUCUAAGUCAGGAAUUGUAUCUCUAUCUGCAGUGUGAGGCAUCAGGAAUAAGAGAGCAUUUUAUUUUUCCAAAGCUGGCAAGUUGUUUAUUAAAUCUGCAACUUCUCUGAGAUAACAUGCUCCAAAAGAAUUAACAGGAACUCAUUUGUUUAUGGACAAAGAGGUAAGUCUGGGGUUUUUUUUCCUCCUUUGCACAUAUGUACAGGUAUUCUGAGAAAUCCAAUUUGAGUUUCCACUUCCCCAAGCAGCCACCUCACUAUUCUUUCUGAAUGCUUAGGUCACAAGGCUGAACAUGUUUGUUCCAGUGUAUUGGUACAGUCUUCACAACACUGCCUUAGAUAUCACAGAUUAAAUCUAGCCACACCAUACUGCACCUUUGUAGCACUACAGUUCUCCUUCCUGCACUCAGGGUCUGCAUGUUCCCCUCAGUCUGGUCAGAUGGGUCAGCUCUGAUCUCUUGAUUGCCUUCUCAGCCCUAUUUGUUUUCUCCCACAAUGCCUCCACCACUACACUUGCCCAGUACUUACCAGGGUGGAAUAGCUUCCUGCUAUUUAUCAAGUAUUUCCACUUCAUCAUCAUAAGAAGUGCCCCCAAAAUACAGGAGCUAAGGGCCACUCAGAAUUCAAUGAACUAUUAAAAUCACUCUAGGUAACUGGCAGGCAGCUAAGCCAGUGCUCAAAUCUGUUAUCCAGCUUUAUUGCAGAGAACAAGGUUACCAGCUACUCUUCAAGACAGAACUACUUCCACCAUCCCCCAAGUGUCUUAGAAAAUAAUCUGUUAUUAUUCUAGUGCAUUUAUUUUUUCUAGUUUGCUUUGGGGGGUUGGUUUCUUCAUGUUUUUUUCUUCUAUACUGAAAGAAAAGUAGGAACACUUCCAAAAUUUUAUUUUCAUUCACGUAUUUUACAAGCAUCUGACAGAUGUUCGGUGAGUUCGACCACCCUGUAACUUCGCACUCAUCCCAAAAUAAUCUCUUCCCAGGCUGUUUUCCCCACACACACUUGCACAGCACUGGUGCUACCCAGCUGCAGUCCUUUGCUGCUAAGAGCAGUAGCUUUAGACUGGGCAGUGAGGAGGGACUUACACUGGUCACUCGGCGGUAGAUCUGCGCAGCAUUUUGGCACUCGGAAUAAGGAUAUUCAGACGUGGCCAUCUCUAGCAUACACAUCCCAAAAGCAUACACAUCAACGGACUCAUCAUAUUUCUCCUCAUACAUCUCGGGGGCCAUGAACUCUGGGGUACCUUAAAUUAAAAGAACGAUUCAGACUCUAAAUGUCUCAAAGCGAGCAGAGGCUGCUGGCGUUACUCACCGCAGGGGCAAGCGGCUGGGCAAACCUGUGAGACAAGAGAAAGUGGAGGCAAAAAGAAGAGGGAGGAAACCCUUAGUGACUCUGUUGCACCAAUGUACUUUGUGAGUCUUCCAUUGCAAGGCCUUUAUGGAAUAACAAUGGCAUGUGAGAACUGAUGCAAUUCCCUGUUUAGGUAUGUUAGUUGAUACAAAUGGCAGAACAGACUGGAUUAGCCUGAAAUCAAACACGAGGGGAGGGGAUAAGAAGAGGGGAAAAACUGUAGACUAGCCAUAGGCUGCAAACCAAAUACUAAGGAGAGUUAAGGCACUUACCUUUUCUCCCUGUAAGAAAAGAGGCACAUUAAACCUUGUUUCAUAAAUUACCUGACUGCCCUCUGCUGCAAAAGAAGUAGUACUGGUAAGAGCCCAUAGCUAGUCUCCGACCUGGUGCUCUCCAUCUACUUGCUGAAGUAGAAUGGGUCAGAUAAGGCCUUGCAAUGAAAAGCUCUGUUGUUACAAAUAAAAAUCUCCGUGAAAAGAGGAUAUAAAAGGUAAUUUUCUGCAAAGGCCACUCACCAGAGCCCUUUUCUUCAUAUACUUACCUUCCCACCUGCAGUAUAUUUAUAGGCCUACUGCAGAUACAGGCAUUAGUGAGGGACACCCUACAGUCAAAAAUACUCAGAAAUACAGAGAGAUUGAGUUACAGGCAUAGAGCGUGAGAUUCAACAAGUCCCAUUUAAAUAGUGUCCAGAAAAUGAUUGCCCAGUGAAGCAUCACAGAUCCCCUCUGCAAACAAAGGGACUGCAUUGUAUGAUCAGAUUUUCUUUAAGCCACAGAUGCAAGUUUGCUUUUUGUAAAUUUAAACACAGAAUUAUUUCCUGCAGACACCAGAUUCCAGGCAAUUUACAGAUCAUUCUACAGCCCAUUGCUUGUUUUCACCAGACUAAACCAAAGAGAAUGUAAAUUGCAGUCAUUUAUCCAAGGCUAAUCAUUAACAGAUAACUAUGUAACAGAUGGUAAUUUUCCAGUGAUAAAUUUGAAGAUAUAACAAAUAUGCUUUAGAAAUUAUGGUUUUUAACACCAUUCUUUUAUUCCCUAUUAAUACUUUGACCUGGUUAAGAAGCAGGAAAUAUUUCAGUGACAGCUUGCAAGAAAAUUUACAGGUAUACGCCAUUGAUCCCAGCUAGGAAUCUGGCACAGGACUGUUGAGCAAUGCUGAAUUUUAGCAAGCUCUAAAUACUGGGAGUGAAAGAAACUUCAUUCCCUGCAGUCUAUUGACCCAACUGUAAAAACAAAGCUGAUAAAACCAAUUCUUUCAAGAAUUCUCAAGAAAGAUCACACUAGUUCCACCAGAUCAAUUUCUGAAAAAGGUUAUGAAUGGAUACACAGGGACAGAGCCAGAAUAAAGCACUAUUUCCCAAUGCACCCUCUUAACUCACACAAAUCCACAUUCUACAGACUCCCUGAGUAAGGUGUUAUACCCACAGUCUGUGUUAUUAUUUAAAUACAUAUUAUAUGGUCUUUCUUUGGUACACCUCAGUUUCAGAUUACUCACAAGCUGCAAGACAUUCAACAUUAACCCCUGGUCACAAUGAAAAAAAAUUUGGCUGUAUGAACUAAUGCUACACUAAAUGUCAAAAUGUUGUUUGGUCUUCAAAAUGCAUUUGUACAUUUCUUGAAGCAGCACCACAAAGGUAAGAUUUUUAUGCAGUGAAGAGUGGUUUUAUCAACAAUGUUGCACAAGAUUGUUGGGCAGGACAAGAACUCUAUAUUCUCAAAUAGCUAAUGUUAAUACAUAAAUAACCAAAGCACAACCAAAAUUUCAACAUGUCUUUGCAUUAGGAACACAGAAUGCCCUCAGCAACCAAGAGACAAAGCCUACAUAUUUUCAGGCUUUGACCAUGUACCUUUAUAAGCAUGUUUUUUUAGGAAAGUUCCUAAAACACUGAAGUCUCCAAAGAGGUAGACUGGCUUAGCAGCCUCCAAAACAGGAGAGGCUUACCUAUCACACUUUUGGCAAAAGAAGCUCGUUUCAGGGUUGCCAGACCAAGGUCUCCAAUCUUGACUGAUCCAGUGGGGCCAGUAAUGAAGAUGUUGUCACAUUUUAAGUCUCUAUGAAUGAUGGGAGGAGUACGAGUGUGUAGAAAUUGUAAGCCUUUCAGUA